rfam:Gossypium raimondii Chr01_contig_322, whole genome shotgun sequence.
UGUUAAAAAUUAUAUUCAUUUCUAAUGUUAAAAACUAGUGUGGUUAAUAAAAUAAUUAAAUAGUUAUACGAGAUAUACCGCAUGUAUCUCAUGAUGACAUACAAUAACUAAUUUUUAACCGUAAAUAUGAUGAAAUUCUUAAUA